rnacentral:rRNA from 1 species
GUCUAAGGCCACACCACCCUGAAAGCACCCAAUCUCAUCUGGCAUCAGAAGCUAAGCAGAGUCAGGCCUGGUUAGUACUUAGAUGGGAGACAGAUCUUCAGAAGAGACU